UGUCGGCGCAGCUCCUCUUGGGCACGAC
rnacentral:sRNA from 1 species